GACGAACCGUGCGAGCGUUAUUCGGAAUCACUGGGCUUAAAGGGCGCGUAGGCGGGUUGCCAAGUCGGAGGUGAAAUCCUGCAGCUCAACUGCAGAAGUGCCCCCGAUACUGGCAGUCUCGAGUGAGGUAGGGGCAUGUGGAACUUCCGGUGGAGCGGUGAAAUGCGUAGAUAUCGGAAGGAACGCCGGUGGCGAAAGCGACGUGCUGGACCUCAACUGACGCUGAGGCGCGAAAGCCAGGGGAGCGAACGGG
rnacentral:rRNA from 1 species